GUUAUGGGGGUUCUGUGCAGCAAAGCAUUCUGGGAAGGAACAGGAUUUAAUUUUUUUUUUUCUCCCCUUCACUCCCUUUCUCACAGCGUUUCUUGCUCAGAGACUUGCUGAUACAAGCCUGCACACCCCAGACAGCAUUAUCUCUCUAUUUGUGUUCUUUUUGUGUUUGUUUGUUGUGUUGUUGUUUUUUUUUUUUUUCUUUUUAAACCGAUACGAACAAGUCGACACUGUAUGCAUGACGUGAGCGAGGAAGCCGAGUUGACACAGGAUAAAAAAAUGGAUAAAAGAUCUUUGAGAUUUAAAUGUGAGGAUUUAACAACGACGACAAAAAAACACACACACACACACACAAAGCACCCUCGAUACGUGUAAGAGAGAUCCGUGUUUCUCCCCAACACACCCACUCACACACACAAUUAUUUAGUGUUCAAUGCACAACUGUGAAUUUACGUGUCAUUCUUUCUUUCUCUUCUUCUUCUUUUUUUUUUUCUUUCUUCUCCUCCACGAGCGUCAGCGUCUUGUGUUCUUGUUGUGUUUCAGUUUCUCUCCACCGUUACCUCUACGACGAGUCUCAGUAUUAAUAUAAAGGCAGGCAGUCUGACGUAAAAACAAAAACACACAAUGUUCCUCUCCCCCUGAAUGUAGUCGAUCGGACAGGAAGUGCUAAGAUCGCUAAUAAUAAAAGGAAGUUUAGCGCUGCUAGGUUAGCGUUGUGCAAACUGCAUGUCUGACUCAUCACAUUUGCCUCAAAAGACAUGGACAUCACGAUGCUAAACUGGAGGUUGUACGCUUCUCUUGUUUAUUAGCCACGUUAGCAGCGUCAACGUCAGAUGUGGAUUAUAUUUGGGUUGAAGGAGGAAAAUGGUGGACAUUUUGUUUGUUUGUUUGUUUGUGUUUGUUUUUUUUGGUCAGAUGUGCGUCUUUACGUGCUGUUCCACAUCCUCAGUGCAGUUCUGUUUCUGUUGUCGCUGUUCUCUGUUUCCUCACGUUGGCUCAGAACCGUCGCUUCAUGGGAGAUUACAAAUUAUUAUUGUUUUGUUUUGUUUUUUUGUUGUUUAUUUUACUUAUAAGCCCCUUGGAAGCCCCGCCCCUUCCUGUUCCUUUUCUCCCAGUGGCCAAACUGAACUUAAUGCUGCUAGUCACUCAUGCGGGACUUUUGUUUUUUUUUCUUUUCGUUUGUUUGUUUUUUUCUCUCUCUUUCCUCCACUGGCUGUGACGUUUUAGUCCCAGACUAAAUCCUAAAAGAAUUUAGACUUAUAAAUAAAUCAACAAAAGACACACACAAGAUAUGAAAUCGGAUUUUUUUUUUUUUUUUUUGCCACUGAAACUUGAGCCAAAUGUGCCUCUACGAGGCUGAAAGAGCGAG
ensembl:lncRNA